GGGUGAAAAGCCCGCUCGCCGGAAGACCAAGGGUUCCUGUCCAACGUUAAUCGGGGCAGGGUGAGUCGACCCCUAAGGCGAGGCCGAAAGGCGUAGUCGAUGGGAAACAGGUUAAUAUUCCUGUACUUGGUGUUACUGCGAAGGGGGGACGGAGAAGGCUAUGUUGGCCGGGCGACGGUUGUCCCGGUUUAAGCGUGUAGGCUGGUUUUCCAGGCAAAUCCGGAAAAUCAAGGCUGAGGCGUGAUGACGAGGCACUACGGUGCUGAAGCAACAAAUGCCCUGCUUCCAGGAAAAGCCUCUAAGCAUCAGGUAACAUCAAAUCGUACCCCAAACCGACACAGGUGGUCAGGUAGAGAAUACCAAGGCGCUUGAGAGAACUCGGGUGAAGGAACUAGGCAAAAUGGUGCCGUAACUUCGGGAGAAGGCACGCUGAUAUGUAGGUGAAGCGACUUGCGGGUGGAGCUGAAAUCAGUCGAAGAUACCAGCUGGCUGCAACUGUUUAUUAAAAACACAGCACUGUGCAAACACGAAAGUGGACGUAUACGGUGUGACGCCUGCCCGGUGCCGGAAGGUUAAUUGAUGGGGUUAGCGCAAGCGAAGCUCUUGAUCGAAGCCCCGGUAAACGGCGGCCGUAACUAUAACGGUCCUAAGGUAGCGAAAUUCCUUGUCGGGUAAGUUCCGACCUGCACGAAUGGCGUAAUGAUGGCCAGGCUGUCUCCACCCGAGACUCAGUGAAAUUGAACUCGCUGUGAAGAUGCAGUGUACCCGCGGCAAGACGGAAAGACCCCGUGAACCUUUACUAUAGCUUGACACUGAACAUUGAGCCUUGAUGUGUAGGAUAGGUGGGAGGCUUUGAAGUGUGGACGCCAGUCUGCAUGGAGCCGACCUUGAAAUACCACCCUUUAAUGUUUGAUGUUCUAACGUGGACCCGUAAUCCGGGUUGCGGACAGUGUCUGGUGGGUAGUUUGACUGGGGCGGUCUCCUCCUAAAGAGUAACGGAGGAGCACGAAGGUUGGCUAAUCCUGGUCGGACAUCAGGAGGUUAGUGCAAUGGCAUAAGCCAGCUUGACUGCGAGCGUGACGGCGCGAGCAGGUGCGAAAGCAGGUCAUAGUGAUCCGGUGGUUCUGAAUGGAAGGGCCAUCGCUCAACGGAUAAAAGGUACUCCGGGGAUAACAGGCUGAUACCGCCCAAGAGUUCAUAUCGACGGCGGUGUUUGGCACCUCGAUGUCGGCUCAUCACAUCCUGGGGCUGAAGUAGGUCCCAAGGGUAUGGCUGUUCGCCAUUUAAAGUGGUACGCGAGCUGGGUUUAGAACGUCGUGAGACAGUUCGGUCCCUAUCUGCCGUGGGCGCUGGAGAACUGAGGGGGGCUGCUCCUAGUACGAGAGGACCGGAGUGGACGCAUCACUGGUGUUCGGGUUGUCAUGCCAAUGGCACUGCCCGGUAGCUAAAUGCGGAAGAGAUAAGUGCUGAAAGCAUCUAAGCACGAAACUUGCCCCGAGAUGAGUUCUCCCUGACUCCUUGAGAGUCCUGAAGGAACGUUGAAGACGACGACGUUGAUAGGCCGGGUGUGUAAGCGCAGCGAUGCGUUGAGCUAACCGGUACUAAUGAACCGUGAGGCUUAACCUU
rnacentral:rRNA from 1 species